AUUAUAGACGAUUUUUUUUUCACAACAUAAUAUUACACUUGCUGCUGCUUUAGAAGAGUUAAUUUCUGGUAGACAGAUGAUUAUAGUGUUGUUCCUGUUAUGCAUAAGGUCGUGGUUAUAAUAUUGUGAGAUUUUGUGUCUGCAUAAAUCCAGUAGUGGUUUUGAUAAUCAAAAAGUAAUCUCUCAACUUAUCAUCAGGUGCUUAAAGAUUUGAGUUUUUAAAGUGGUUCCACAAAACCUGUAAAGUGGUUCCACAAAACCUGCAAAGUGGUUCCACAAAAAUCUGCAAAGUGGACGUUAUGUUGCUUGCAGCAGUAGAUUGUUCUUUUCUAUUUAAGUUUGACUGCAUCAACCAAAAAACUUUUGCUCAUGUGUUAAAGGAUGUUGGCAUCUGUUAUCCAAAACAAACAAGUAUGGGAUCACAAUUUUUUGUGUGUAAAUAGUUGAUCCAAACAUGAAUUAUCAAGGUGGAAUACUAGGUUAAUCAUUUUUGUAUACUAAUAAGGCAUUUGAUAAUGUCUUUUCUGUAAGUUAAAUAAAUUUUGACAGCUUUGUAAAUAUAUUUAUUCCAUUUUCUGUUUAGUAUUUAUAACACUUUGCA